rnacentral:rRNA from 1 species
GAUGAACGCUGGCGGCGUGCCUAAUACAUGCAAGUCGAGCGAACAGACGAAGAGCUUGCUCCUCUGACGUUAGCGGCGGACGGGUGAGUAACACGUGGAUAACCUACCUAUAAGACUGGGAUAACUUCGGGAAACCGGAGCUAAUACCGGAUAAUAUAUUGAACCGCAUGGUUCAAUAGUGAAAGACGGUUUUGCUGUCACUUAUAGAUGGAUCCGCGCCGCAUUAGCUAGUUGGUAAGGUAACGGCUUACCAAGGCAACGAUGCGUAGCCGACCUGAGAGGGUGAUCGGCCACACUGGAACUGAGACACGGUCCAGACUCCUACGGGAGGCAGCAGUAGGGAAUCUUCCGCAAUGGGCGAAAGCUUGACGGAGCAACGCCGCGUGAGUGGUGAAGGUCUUCGGAUCGUAAAACUCUGUUAUUAGGGAAGAACAAAUGUGUAAGUAACUAUGCACGUCUUGACGGUACCUAAUCAGAAAGCCACGGCUAACUACGUG